AAGUCGUAACAAGGUUUCCGUAGGUGAACCUGCGGAAGGAUCAUUAUUGAAUACGCUUGAGUGCUGAUGCUGGCCUUUUGGGGCAUGUGCUCGCAUUCGAACUAUUUAUCUUCUCUCUGUGCACCUUUUGUAGUCUCUGAACGUCACCCUCCGCUGCAAAUGCGGGUUAUUGGGGGAGCAUUCCCCUGGGCUUCAGAGUUCUAUGUCUUAUAAACCAUUAGUAUGUUAUAGAAUGUCAUUUUUCCGAUGGCUAGUCCAUUGAAAACCUAAUACAACUUUCAACAACGGAUCUCUUGGCUCUC
rnacentral:misc_RNA from 1 species